GACGAACGCUGGCGGCGUGCCUAAUACAUGCAAGUCGAACGCUUCUUUCCUCCCGAGUGCUUGCACUCAAUUGGAAAGAGGAGUGGCGGACGGGUGAGUAACACGUGGGUAACCUACCCAUCAGAGGGGGAUAACACUUGGAAACAGGUGCUAAUACCGCAUAACAGUUUAUGCCGCAUGGCAUAAGAGUGAAAGGCGCUUUCGGGUGUCGUUGAUGGAUGGACCCGCGGUGCAUUAGCUAGUUGGUGAGGUAACGGCUCACCAAGGCCACGAUGCAUAGCCGACCUGAGAGGGUGAUCGGCCACACUGGGACUGAGGCACGGCCCAGACUCCUACGGGAGGCAGCAGUAGGGAAUCUUCGGCAAUGGACGAAAGUCUGACCGAGCAACGCCGCGUGAGUGAAGAAGGUUUUCGGAUCGUAAAACUCUGUUGUUAGAGAAGAACAAGGACGUUAGUAACUGAACGUCCCCUGACGGUAUCUAACCAGAAAGCCACGGCUAACUACGUG
rnacentral:rRNA from 1 species